UCCAAGCUUGCCCAGAUAUGCUUGGAUUUGGAAUGGUAGGAGAGGCCCUCGCAUACAGGUGUGGCCGCAGCUGCGGAUGCGCAUGGUGGACCGCAGCUCGGCCAGUGAUGCCAGGAGCAUCCGAGCCGCCAGCAGAUCAACCUGCAGAGGCAGCAGCUGCACCAACCCCACUGUAACUGGAGCCCAGCAGAGCGCCACCGCCUCCUUCCCCGACGGCUCGAUCUGAAGACUGCAACGCGGCGCGGGCGCCGCCGGCUCUUCUCGCUCCGGCAAUGAGGGCUGGGAAUCGCAGCUCGCCAUCGUUCCGUGACGACAACUACAGCCCAUAGUUGGCAGGCAAGGCGGCACGGCUCGUUGCUUCAGUCUGACUCUGCACGGCUGUUCCACCUUUCCAUUCGUUGGUUUUCUGAAGAAAUAGAAGAUACAUAAACUCCAGAUGGAUUGAUCUUUAUUCGAGUACCAUAAUGUGGGCGGCACAUGUCUGGCUGAAGGAUGCGUUGGUCAUAGGCUGACACAUCAAAACUUCCAACUGCGGUCACUUUUUGUCAUAGGAAAAAAAAGGUACCUAACCCGAUCACGGUUACGUUUAUGUUGAGAAGGAUCCAUUGAUGCUGCACCGCUUAGCUGAACUAUAUAAUGUUUUUGAUCUGCGGUGUCGACAUUUGAGACACAAGAAGGAUAAGAACUAUAUUAAUGGAUCUCUGUAGUUGACCUCAA